rnacentral:rRNA from 1 species
GUGGGGAAUAUUGCACAAUGGAGGGAACUCUGAUGCAGCAACGCCGCGUGAGCGAAGAAGGUUUUAGGAUCGUAAAGUUCUGUCCUCAGGGAAGAUAAUGACGGUACCUGAGGAGGAAGCCCCGGCUAACUACGUGCCAGCAGCCGCGGUAAUACGUAGGGGGCGAGCGUUGUCCGGAAUUAUUGGGCGUAAAGGGUGCGUAGGCGGCUGAAUAAGUCAGAUGUGAAAGGUUAAGGCUUAACUUUAAUAAGCAUAUGAAACUGUUCAGCUUGAGUUAAGGAGAGGGGAGUGGAAUUCCUAGUGUAGCGGUGAAAUGCGUAGAUAUUAGGAGGAAUACCAGUGGCGAAGGCGACUCUCUGGACUUAAACUGACGCUGAUGCACGAAAGCGUGGGGAGCAAACAGG